AGUGAACGCUGGCGGUAGGCCUAACACAUGCAAGUCGAACGGCAGCACAGUAAGAGCUUGCUCUUACGGGUGGCGAGUGGCGGACGGGUGAGGAAUACAUCGGAAUCUACUUUUUCGUGGGGGAUAACGUAGGGAAACUUACGCUAAUACCGCAUACGACCUACGGUUGAAAGCAGUGGAUCUUCGGACCUUGCGCGAUUGAAUGAGCCGAUGUCGGAUUAGCGAGUUGGCGGGGUAAAGGCCCACCAAGGCGACGACCCGUAACUGGUCUGAGAGGAUGAUCAGCCACACUGGAACUGAGACACGGUCCAGACUCCUACGGGAGGCAGCAGUGGGGAAUAUUGGACAAUGGGCGCAAGCCUGAUCCAGCCAUACCGCGUGGGUGAAGAAGGCCUUCGGGUUGUAAAGCCCUUUUAUUGGGCAAGAAAAGCAGCAGGUUAAUACCCCGCUGUUCUGACGGUACCCAAAGAAUAAGCACCGGCUAACUUCGUG
rnacentral:rRNA from 1 species